GCUCAGGAUAAAUCACCUGUACCUGCUUCAUUAUUCAAACUGAAACAGUUAAAGUUAAAACAGACGAUGAUCUGGAUCCAGGACUUAUUCAGGUUCAGGUCUUUGACUGACUCGGUCAUUCAGCUUCAGACUCUGAUUAUUUCACCCACAGAUGUUAAAUUCAUUUUUACCUGUGUAUUUUUUACAGUGCAGAGACACCUUAAAGGAGGUCCACCUGAGUCUCCGUCAGUCUGUGGCUGGAUGAAAUCCUGGACUUUAAUUGUCGUCUAUUGAACAAGACACCACAAUUAAACACAUGAUGGACACAACAUGACACCACCCUCCCACCCCCCACCCCCGCUGGACCACGUGGUCCAGGUCUUCAGAGCAGGAUCCAGGUCCAGACUGGAUCAUUUGAUUGACUCUGGUCUGUCAGCAGGUGGAGGCUCAGAGUGUCUGUCACUGUGGGAGAGCAGAGGAAGAAAAGACUCAGCAGACUGUAACCGGAAGAAAACUUGGACCGGACUCCUUCACAGGCCACAGUCCAAGACCAGGUACAGAAGCACCUGGUGGCCGUCGGUGGAACUGCAGCUGGACACAGGACUUGAGGUGAGGAAGCUGCACCGACGGUCGGCCAUGACGUGACAGCUCCUCAGCUCUGUCUGAUCCUGAACCCUGAUCCUGAACUGGGAUCCUGAAUCCUCACAGACUGGCUCAUACAUGGACGUUACGUUUCAGGAACCGUUCAGAUCUGAGGAGGAUCUAAACCUUGUGGACUGAACAGAAACUCUCCUCAGACCCUCUGAGUACAUGCUUUAGUCUCGUUCUGGUCUCGGGUCGGGUCUCCUCAGUACAUCAGGUCGGCUGCGCCCCCGCUCAGGUCCGACUCCUUGGUUUCCUGGAAGGGGAACUGGAUUCCUGUCAGCCGG